rnacentral:misc_RNA from 1 species
CAACCCUCGACCUCCCUCCGGGGAGGUCGGCGUUGGGGAACGGCAGCACCCCGCCGGCCCCUAAAUACAGUGGCGGCCCGUCCGCGGCGACCUCUGCGCAGUAGUCCAACUCGCACCGGGAACCCGACGCGGCCACGCCGUAAAACACCCAACCUUCCGAA